rnacentral:rRNA from 1 species
GGGGUGAAGUCGUAACAAGGUAACCGUAGGGGAACCUGCGGUUGGAUCACCUCCUUACCUGAAGAUAC